UUUCCGUAGGUGAACCUGCGGAAGGAUCAUUAUUGUAUAACCGAGGUGCGAGGGCUGUCGCUGACCCGAAAGGUCGUGCACGCCCGAGUGCCCUCACUCACAUCCAUCUCACCCCUAUGUGCACCACCGCGUGGGUCCCCCUUUGGCUUGUCCGGAGGGGGGCUUACGUUUUCACACAAACUUUGUAUGCAGUGUAGAAUAUAUUUUUUGUUUUUGCGAUCACGCAAUCAAUACAACUUUCAACAACGGAUCUCUUGGCUCUC
rnacentral:misc_RNA from 1 species